rnacentral:rRNA from 1 species
UACGGAGGGUGCAACCGUUGCUCGGAAUCAUUGGGCGUAAAGCGCACGUAGGCGGCCUGUUAUGUCGGGUGUGAAAUCCCUCGGCUUAACCGAGGAAGUGCAUUCGAAACUGGCAGGCUUGAAUACUCAAGAGGGUCUCGGAAUUCCCGGUGUAGAGGUGAAAUUCGUAGAUAUCGGGAGGAACACCAGUGGCGAAGGCGGAGACCUGGGGAGAUAUUGACGCUGAGGUGCGAAAGCGUGGGGAGCAAACAGG